AACGCACCUUGCGCUCCUUGGUAUUCCGAGGAGCAUGCCUGUUUGAGUGUCAUUAAUAUAUCAACCUCUUCAUCUUUUUGCAUGUCGAGUUGUUGGAUGUGGGGGAACAUUUUGCUGGACUCCAAUCCGAGGUCAGCUCCCCUAAAAUGCAUUAGCGAAACAAUUUGUUUACCGCUCAUUGGUGUGAUAACUAUCUACGCUAUUGACAGUAACAGCAUGUUUAGCUUCUAACAGUCCAUUGAAUUGGACAUUUUUCUAUUAAUGUGACCUCAAAUCAGGUAGGACUACCCGCUGAACUUAA
rnacentral:rRNA from 1 species